rnacentral:rRNA from 1 species
AAAACAAUCCUACGGGAGGCAGCAGUGGGGAAUAUUGGACAAUGGGCGCAAGCCUGAUCCAGCCAUGCCGCGUGAGUGAUGAAGGCCUUAGGGUUGUAAAGCUCUUUCGCCGGUGAAGAUAAUGACGGUAACCGGAGAAGAAGCCCCGGCUAACUUCGUGCCAGCAGCCGCGGUAAUACGAAGGGGGCAAGCGUUGCUCGGAAUCACUGGGCGUAAAGCGCACGUAGGCGGAUUGUUAAGUCAGGGGUGAAAUCCUGGAGCUCAACUCCAGAACUGCCCUUGAUACUGGCGAUCUUGAGUUCGAGAGAGGUUGGUGGAACUCCGAGUGUAGAGGUGAAAU